AAGACGGGGGAUGAGGGACCAGGCCUGCCUUGGCUGGGAGGCAGCUCGGCCUAACAGGACUUUUCCAUCGGGCUGUUCCAUGAUUAAUCGAGACAAGAAAAGAAAAAGAAGAAGGAAAUUGAUAAACACAAUGGUAAUUCCAUCCAGGGCUUGCCUUAGUCAGGUUAUUAGAAUCCUGACAUCAUGUCUUGAAAAGAGGACUGGAAAUAAAUCUCGGGGAGAUAAGAUCUGCUGGCUGGGGGUGGGGAGGUGCACCAGGCUGAUGGGGCCAUCUUGGGGGUCCCCUCCCCAAAAAACUAUUUCUUCCAGUUUUGCUGGGUCUCAAACCAGUAACAGGAACAUGUGGCUUCCAUGGAAACCUUAUACCUUCUUCUGCCUGCACUCGUCCUGUAAAAUCACCCUCCACACCCCGACGAAAGCAUUCCUGAAGGAAUCUCCAGCUCCCUCGCAGGACAAGGAGGAUGAGAAGGACGAGGUCUGUGGACAUUGGAUCCUGUCAUGGAGCAAGUCCUGAGUGCCCUUCUCCAGGCUCAGGUACAAUCAGGUGCCCCAUUCCCUGUUCUCCAUCUCUCCAACCUCGGACACUGCCCAGGCUUGGAAGAAGCUCAGCCAUGAGCAACCUGGUCCAAUGUCCCUGCCCAUGGCAGAGGGGUGGAAUGAGAUGAGCUUUAAGGUCCCUCCCAACCCAAACCAUUCCAGGAUUCAGCAAAAAUUCCUUUUUUUUCCUCCUGAAACUGGUUCUGCAAACUCCCAU